CGUCCGAAUCACAACUGCAUCGUUUUCCACAAGGCUACAGACACGGAGAACUGUAAAGUGACGCGAAAGUCAUGCGUUGGAGUUAAAUAUUAUCUCAGCUGAAGUUUCAAAGCAGGUGUUUUUCCUGGAUGGUCUCAUCUUCUUUGAUCUGCUGAACAAAAAAAACAUCCCCACACCAUGAAGCUGCCACCACCAUGUUUCACCAUUGGGAUAGUGUGUUUGGCUUAGCAUUACACAAUUGACUCUGGGAUCCGUGGGGGAAGCCUGACGUCGAGCGAAG